rnacentral:lncRNA from 1 species
AGUAGAAAGAAUGAUGGAUCCAUGGCCGUGGAUAAGAAUGCAUCCUCAGAUGGUAAAAUUGAGCCAUAGCGAUGGGAUUCUAUUGGAUUUUAGGUAUUUUGUAUACAGAUUUCAAAAUAAUUUUGAAUACAAGUAGUAGAAGACAAGAUUAAAUUAGAUUUAAUCUUAUGUAUGCAUAGAUCUAAAUCAAAUACUUAUGGAUCUAAUUCAUAUGAUGAUAAAUAAGAUAUUAAGU